UACGUAGGGGGCAAGCGUUGUCCGGAUUUAUUGGGCGUAAAGAGCGUGUAGGCGGUUUGGUAGGUCCGUUGUGAAAACUCGAGGCUCAACCUCGAGACGCCGAUGGAAACCAUCAGACUAGAGUCCGGAAGAGGAGAGUGGAAUUCCUGGUGUAGCGGUGAAAUGCGCAGAUAUCAGGAAGAACACCCGUGGCUAAGGCGGCUCUCUGGAACGCAACUGACGCUGAGACGCGAAAAGCGUGGGGGAGCAAACAGG
rnacentral:rRNA from 1 species